rfam:Otolemur garnettii contig071213, whole genome shotgun sequence.
GACUCAGAAUGGAAGAGGUAAUGCUGAGGCCCUUGGGAGAGACCCCCUUUCCUCUUCAGCCGGCCCCUACCCCACGUGUUGGUCCUCACUCUGCCGUUCCCCUUUCAGG